CUGCCAGGAGCUCAUGUGAGGCCCAGCCCGUGGCCAGCUAGGGAAAGAGUAUGGAGCUGUCUCUGCCUGUGGUUGUGGGAAGCUUCCAGAUUGCUGGUGUGAAAGGACGUGAAGACUGUUAUCUACCAGAGUGAUGUUUUUAUAAUGAAGCUGUGGGAAUGUGUUGCAUGAAGUGCCUUGUGGCAAGAGGAGUGUUUGAGGGUGCAGCGUUGACUGCUGCAAAGUUAAGAGUGUUUGCUGCACUUGCUCAGAGCAAGUGGAAAAAAUAUAGAGAAUAAUUUUCUGAGUAUUAGCUAUGCCAUGGAGGGACAGUUCAGCCUUGCUUUCCACUGAGAUGAGUCAACUGAAACCUGCUCUGACUACAGGGCAGAUGAGCUCCAUAAUGUCUCUAACCUUUGUUCUGCAGGUGUGCAAACCUAAGGACCUC